rnacentral:rRNA from 1 species
CAGGCGGUUGGAUACAAUUAGAUGGAAAGCCCGGGCUCAACCUGGGAAUUGCAUUUAAAACUGUCCAGCUUGAGUCUUGUAGAGGGGGGUAGAAUUCCAGGUGUAGCGGUGAAAUGCGUAGAGAUCUGGAGGAAUACCGGUGGCGAAGGCGGCCCCUGGACAAAGACUGACGCUCAGGUGCGAAAGCGUGGGGAGCAAACAGGAUUAGAUACCCUGGUAGUUCACGCCGUAAACGAUGUCUGAUUUGGAGGCUGUGUACCGUGAGACGUGGCUUCCGGAGCUAACGCGUUAAAUCGACCGCCUGGGGAGUACGGCCGCAAGGUUAAAACUCAAAUGAAUUGACGGGGGCCCGCACAAGCGGUGGAGCAUGUGGUUUAAUUCGAUGCAACGCGAAGAACCUUACCUGGCCUUGACAUGUCUGGAAUCCUGCAGAGAUGCGGGAGUGCCUUCGGGAAUCAGAACACAGGUGCUGCAUGGCUGUCGUCAGCUCGUGUCGUGAGAUGGUGGGUUAAGUCCCGCAACGAGCGCAACCCCCUGUCCUUUGUUGCCAGCACGUAAUGGUGGGAACUCAAGGGA